GAUGAACGCUGGCGGCGUGCCUAAUACAUGCAAGUCGAGCGAACGGACGAGAAGCUUGCUUUUUUGAUGUUAGCGGCGGACGGGUGAGUAACACGUGGAAAACCCACCUAUAUGACUGGGAUAACCUCGGGAAACCGGCGCUAAUACCGGAUAAUCUUUUGAACCGCAUGGUUCAAAAGUGAAAGACGGCCUUGCUGUCUCGUAUAGCUGGAUACGAGCUGCAUUAGCUAGUUGGUAAGUUAACGGCUUACCAAGGCAAGGAUGCCUAGCCGACCUGAGAGGGUGAUCGGCCACACUGGAACUUAGACACGGUCCAGACUCCUACGGGAGGCAGCAGUAGGGAAUCUUCCGCAGUGGGCGAAAGCCUGACGGAGCGACGCCGCGUGAGUGAUGAAGGUCUUCGGAUCGUAAAACUCUGUUAUUAGGGAAGAACAGAUGUGUAAGUAACUGUGCACAGCGUGACGGUACCUAAUCAGAAAGCCACGGCUAACUACGUG
rnacentral:rRNA from 1 species